rnacentral:SRP_RNA from 1 species
CAUCGGCCGAGGCAGUCGGCGACGCUUCAGAUCCGCACGAGAGCAAAGCGGAAGAAGGCCCGACGGAUGCGGCCAGCGACCGCGCCGGCGAACUGGAGACGAAGUCAGACGCUCCGCCCAGCAGGGCGAGCCGGCCGCA